rnacentral:rRNA from 1 species
UAAGGAAUAUUGGACAAUGGAGGCAACUCUGAUCCAGCCAUGCCGCGUGAAGGAAUAAGGCCCUAUGGGUUGUAAACUUCUUUUAGACGGGACAAAACCCCUUUACGUGUAAAGGGUUGAUGUUACUGUCAGAAUAAGCAUCGGCUAACUUCGUGCCAGCAGCCGCGGUAAUACGAAGGAUGCAAGCGUUAUCGGGCAUUUAUGCGUUUAAAGGGUGCGUAGGCGGACUAAUAAGUCAGUGGUGAAAGCAUGCAGCUUAACUGCAGAAUUGCCAUUGAUACUGUUAGUAUUGAGUACAGUUGAGGUAGGCGGAAUGUGUCAUGUAGCGGUGAAAUGCUUAGAUAUGACAUAGAACACCAAUUGCGAAGUCAGCUUACUACACAAUCAUUGACACUGAGGCACGAAAGCGUGGGUAGCGAA